CGAACGCUGGCGGCGUGCUUAACACAUGCAAGUCGAACGGAAAGGCCCUGCUUUUGUGGGGUGCUCGAGUGGCGAACGGGUGAGUAACACGUGAGUAACCUGCCCUUGACUUUGGGAUAACUUCAGGAAACUGGGGCUAAUACCGGAUAGGAGCUCCUGCUGCAUGGUGGGGGUUGGAAAGUUUCGGCGGUUGGGGAUGGACUCGCGGCUUAUCAGCUUGUUGGUGGGGUAGUGGCUUACCAAGGCUUUGACGGGUAGCCGGCCUGAGAGGGUGACCGGCCACAUUGGGACUGAGAUACGGCCCAGACUCCUACGGGAGGCAGCAGUGGGGAAUAUUGCACAAUGGGCGGAAGCCUGAUGCAGCAACGCCGCGUGCGGGAUGACGGCCUUCGGGUUGUAAACCGCUUUCGCCUGUGACGAAGCGUGAGUGACGGUAAUGGGUAAAGGAGCACCGGCUAACUACGUG
rnacentral:rRNA from 1 species